GACGAACGCUGGCGGCGUGCUUAACACAUGCAAGUCGAGCGAUGAAGCUCCUUCGGGAGUGGAUUAGCGGCGGACGGGUGAGUAUCACGUGGGUAACCUGCCUCAUAGAGGGGAAUAGCCUUCCGAAAGGAAGAUUAAUACCGCAUAAGAUUGUAGUACCGCAUGGUACAGCAAUUAAAGGAGCAAUCCGCUAUGAGAUGGACCCGCGUCGCAUUAGCUAGUUGGUGAGGUAACGGCUCACCAAGGCGACGAUGCGUAGCCGACCUGAGAGGGUGAUCGGCCACAUUGGGACUGAGACACGGCCCAGACUCCUACGGGAGGCAGCAGUGGGGAAUAUUGCACAAUGGGGGAAACCCUGAUGCAGCAACGCCGCGUGAGUGAUGACGGUCUUCGGAUUGUAAAGCUCUGUCUUCAGGGACGAUAAUGACGGUACCUGAGGAGGAAGCCACGGCUAACUACGUGCCAGCCGCCGCCGUAA
rnacentral:rRNA from 1 species